UACGUAGGUGGCAAGCGUUGUCCGGAAUUAUUGGGCGUAAAGCGCGCGCAGGCGGGCUGAUAAGUCUGUCGUUUAAAUUCGGGGCUCAACCCCGUCAAGCGAUGGAAACUAUCAGUCUUGAGUGCAGGAGAGGAAAGGGGAAUUCCCAGUGUAGCGGUGAAAUGCGUAGAUAUUGGGAGGAACACCAGUGGCGAAGGCGCCUUUCUGGACUGUGUCUGACGCUGAGGCGCGAAAGCCAGGGUAGCGAACGGG
rnacentral:rRNA from 1 species